GUGUCAAUCCAACCGUUGGUACUGGAAACUUGUCCCCCAUGCUAUCGCUUUUUGUUUGAAGGAGUCGGGGAAUAAGCCUCCAGUGAUCCGCUACAGGAAGGACCGGGUUCAGUCCAAGCUGACGCCCACCUUCCCGGUAGUUACCGGAGUCAAAGACCUGUCCAACGGCUGCGCCAUCGCUGCAGCGCUGCACUACUACUGCCCCCAGCUGCUGCCUC